GGUCUUGAGGAAGCAGGACAACGUGCCCUUACUGCCCAAGAAGCCCAUCAUCCAUGGAGACGGCAGCUUCCCACACAACUCCUCAGUGACCCCGCAGACGGCCACUGGUGCCGAGCGCCGAGAGGAGCCGCUCCGUGGGAAGGGGCAGAAGGACGGAGCCUCUUUGGAGCCACAGCAGUCCUUGCUCGAGGCACUCUCCUUGCUCAGCAGCGAUGACUGGGAGCUGAAGGAGAAGGGACUCUUCAGCAUCAAACACCUGGCUGAGUCCCACUCAGAAGUCCUUCUUUGUAGACUUCGUGAGGUUUGCUUGGCACUUACCAACGAGGUGACCAACCUUCGCUCAAAGGUGUCUUACUCUGCAAUCGU